rnacentral:tRNA from 2 species
ACAUAUCUAUAUGAAGGAGUAUGUCUAUUUUUGAAAUGAAUAGAAUAGGAAAGUCAACUUUCCUUCAUGUUCAAAUCAAGUAAUAAGUU